rnacentral:rRNA from 1 species
CCUACGGGAGGCAGCAGUAGGGAAUAUUGGGCAAUGGAGGCAACUCUGACCCAGCCAUGCCGCGUGCAGGAUGAAGGCGUUAUGCGUUGUAAACUGCUUUUAUAUAGGAAGAAAUAGACCUUGCGAGGUAAGUUGACGGUACUAUAUGAAUAAGCACCGGCUAACUCCGUGCCAGCAGCCGCGGUAAUACGGAGGGUGCAAGCGUUGUCCGGAUUUAUUGGGUUUAAAGGGUGCGUAGGCGGUUUAUUAAGUCAGUGGUGAAAGACGGUCGCUCAACGAUUGCAGUGCCAUUGAUACUGGUAGACUUGAGUGAGAUUGAGGUAGCUGGAAUGGAUAGUGUAGCGGUGAAAUGCAUAGAUAUUAUCCAGAACACCAAUUGCGUAGGCAAGUUACUAAGUCUCAACUGACGCUGAGGCACGAAAGUGUGGGUAUCAAACAGGAUUAGAUACCCUGGUAGUCCACACUGUAAACGAUGAUAACUAACUGUUGGCUUUUGGGUCAGUGGUACAGAGAAAUCGUUAAGUUAUCCACCUGGGGAGUACGCCGGCAACCGGGAGAGACGCGAAAGAAAGUUAGUACGGCGUGAGACGUAGACCGAACGGACGACGACGAGGGGAGGAGGG